GAUCAAAUCAGCAUUAUUUCCAUUUGGAACUUCUGGAAGAGAAUGGUUUGUGACAGUGACUUGGACACCAACAAAAAGCCAGACAGGCACUCACUUGUUUUGUUACACUGCAGUUGAUAAUUUAGGACAAACCUCAGACCAGACAUGCGCUACACUCGUGGUAGACGAGGAACCCGACGAUACGGUUGUUCUAAAUCAGGAUUGCAAUGCUUUUAAAACGCCAGAAAAAGUACAUACUAAGUGCAUUGAAGCGACAACUGGCGUCCCCCCAUUAUUUUACCUGGCAACCAGCUGCUCCUCUUAUUUUGUUCAGUGUAACGAGCUUGGAACUGGACAUAUUGUGCGCUGUGCUCCUGGAACUGAAUGGUGCAACCAUGUUUUAACAUGUGUACAGUCAGGAUCUUGUGCGAC